UUCGCUUUUAAGCCUUUUGGCUAGAGAUCAAGAUUGUAGUAUCUGUUCUCUCAUCAGUUUAAUAUCUCAGUGUUCCUCUGUGGACUGCCUCAUUAACAGAUUUGCAUGAGGCAGUAAUUUGGGGCUUGCUCUUUUCUCUCACCAUCGACCUGGCAUUAUGAUCUCAGCUGGGAGGCAGUGCACUCUGU